GUACCUGCAGGACCUAAAAAUCCAACUUCAUUUUCUGCUCUUUUCUGUUUUUCUUAUUAAAGACUUACUCUGUCAGAAAGUCAGCUCUGUGGUGGACAAGUGACCCCAUGCCUGGUAAUAGCUGUCUCCUCCCUCAAGUUCUUGCUUUAUCGAGCUGUGGUCUUGGUGUUGGAGCGUGCCUUUGUGGAAAGGAGCUGUCUAUUACAUCUGGAUUGCAAUCAUCCUGAUCCCUUUUCUUCUCAAACCCAUUCCAAGAUGAAUUUUUCAUGAGACAUCUACCAAAUCACAACAGCGGAGAGAUGGAGAAGAAAGAGGAAAAACAAAAACCUUGGGAUCACCUACAUGAAGUUAUCAGGUCAGCUGGGGUACCUCAGCAGUAAUGUUUGUGGUUACUAAUCAGUAAAACACAUAUUUGUACUUCAC
rnacentral:lncRNA from 1 species